rnacentral:rRNA from 1 species
UACGAAGGGUGCAAGCGUUGCUCGGAAUUAUUGGGCGUAAAGGGUAGGUAGGUGGUUACGUAUGUCUGGGGUGAAAUCCCUGAGCUUAACUCAGGAAGUGCCUUGGAAACGGCGUAACUAGAGUACUAGAGAGGUUCGUGGAAUUCCCGGUGUAGCGGUGAAAUGCGUAGAGAUCGGGAGGAACAUCAGAGGCGAAGGCGGCGAACUGGAUAGUAACUGACGCUGAGACGCGAAAGCGUGGGGAGCAAACAGG